UCUACAAUGGCAAACUGGGCACACACAUGUACCUCUCUUCCAUUCAUGGAUCCCAUAGAACGACAAUGAAGAUACAAAGUGUUCAAAAACAUAGAGCUGGACAUAUACAAAAUUAUGAAGUUUGAAAAGUGGCUGCUGUGACUGAAUUUAGAAGAGAAAAGCACAUGGAGACAGGAGACAUCAUUCCAGGGUUGAUUCAGCCAUAUAAUGGGACGUGAUCUUGGGAGGCAAUAGAUGAAAUGAUUUGAGAUCACCCAGGUAAUCACAAGCCUCAGGAGUAGAGAGAAGAUUAAAGCCACAUUAGCUUGACUACCUCACUCAACAGAGGAUCUCAGCGUUUGAAUUCAAGCAAUGACUUUUUUCUUUGAAUACUAAAUAAAAUUGUGGGCCAUUUUUUAAAUUUAACCAUGCACUAAAAGACUGCAUUGAUUAAAUGUUCUUCUAUUCCUUCCCGUUCUGAAAAUCUUCCUGUAUUACUCCACACUUCAACAUCUAGCAAGUUACAUUUCCUAUGGGUAGUAAUGACAAAUUAGUGUUCCUUUUUGUCUCUUUUUUCUAAUAUCUUGAAGAACAGAAUCUUGUCCCAAGGAUAUUACGGGUAUUUAACUAUUCAAUUGAUGCACUUUUAAUAUUUCCCAAGAUUGAUUAUGUCACACCAAAUUAUUUUAUUCUGCACCAUUACUGUUUCAUUUUAUUGAGAUACAGGUAACUCCCGUAUAACACGGCACUUCUGUAACACAGUUUCACUCUGGAGAAUUGGGGGAAACCCUCGCACAACACGGCAUCCUAGAACAAGGUUUCACUCUAACACGGUUUGAGAAUUAGAGAAAUCCCCAAACA